rnacentral:rRNA from 1 species
GAUGAACGCUAGCUACAGGCUUAACACAUGCAAGUCGAGGGGUAGCAGGGUAGCAAUACCGCUGACGACCGGCGCACGGGUGAGUAACACGUAUCCAACCUUCCCAUAACUCGGGGAUAGCCUUUCGAAAGAAAGAUUAAUACCCGAUAGUACUUUUUCAAGGCAUCUUGAGAAAGUUAAAGAUUUAUUGGUUAUGGAUGGGGAUGCGUUCCAUUAGAUAGUUGGUGAGGUAACGGCUCACCAAGUCUUCGAUGGAUAGGGGUUCUGAGAGGAAGGUCCCCCACAUUGGUACUGAGACACGGACCAAACUCCUACGGGAGGCAGUAGUGAGGAAUAUUGGUCAAUGGGCGAGAGCCUGAACCAGCCAAGUAGCGUGAAGGAUGAAGGUCCUAUGGAUUGUAAACUUCUUUUAUAGUAGAAUAAAGUGAUCCACGUGUGGAUUUUUGUAUGUAUGCUAUGAAUAAGGAUCGGCUAACUCCGUGCCAGCAGCCGCCGUAAUAC